UAGACCGCCUGGGGAGUACGGCCGCAAGGUUAAAACUCAAAUGAAUUGACGGGGGCCCGCACAAGCGGUGGAGCAUGUGGUUUAAUUCGAUGCAACGCGAAGAACCUUACCUGGUCUUGACAUCCACAGAACUUUCCAGAGAUGAGAUUGUGCCUUCGGGAACUGUGAGACAGGUGCUGCAUGGCUGUCGUCAGCUCGUGUUGUGAAAUGUUGGGUUAAGUCCCGCAACGAGCGCAACCCUUAUCCUUUGUUGCCAGCGGUUAGGCCGGGAACUCAAAGGAGACUGCCAGUGAUAAACUGGAGGAAGGUGGGGAUGACGUCAAGUCAUCAUGGCCCUUACGACCAGGGCUACACACGUGCUACAAUGGCGCAUACAAAGAGAAGCGACCUCGCGAGAGCAAGCGGACCUCAUAAAGUGCGUCGUAGUCCGGAUUGGAGUCUGCAACUCGACUCCAUGAAGUCGGAAUCGCUAGUAAUCGUGGAUCAGAAUGCCACGGUGAAUACGUUCCCGGGCCUUGUACACACCGCCCGUCACACCAUGGGAGUGGGUUGCAAAAGAAGUAGGUAGCUUAACCUUCGGGAGGGCGCUUACCACUUUGUGAUUCAUGACUGGGGUGAAGUCGUAACAAGGUAACCGUAGGGGAACCUGCGGUUGGAUCACCUCCUUACCUUAAAGAA
rnacentral:rRNA from 1 species